GUGGGGAAUCUUGCGCAAUGGGCGAAAGCCUGACGCAGCGACGCCGCGUGAGCGAUGAAGGCCUUCGGGUUGUAAAGCUCUGUGGGGAGGGAAGAAUAAGGCUUGGCUAAUAUCCAAGUUGAUGACGGUACCUCCUUAGCAAGCACCGGCUAACUCUGUGCCAGCAGCCGCGGUAAGACAGAGGGUGCAAACGUUGUUCGGAAUUACUGGGCGUAAAGCGCGUGUAGGCGGCUAAGUAAGUCGGGCGUGAAAUCCCACGGCUCAACCGUGGAAGUGCACUCGAAACUGCAUAGCUAGAGUCCUGGAGAGGAAGGUGGAAUGCUUGGUGUAGAGGUGAAAUUCGUAGAUAUCAAGCGGAACACCGGUGGCGAAGGCGGCCUUCUGGACAGUGACUGACGCUGAGACGCGAAAGCGUGGGGAGCAAACAGGAUUAGAAACCCGGGUAGUCC
rnacentral:rRNA from 1 species